rnacentral:rRNA from 1 species
ACAGAGGGUGCGAGCGUUAAUCGGAAUUACUGGGCGUAAAGGGCGCGUAGGCGGUUGGUUAAGUUAGGUGUGAAAUUCCUGGGCUCAACCUGGGGACUGCAUUUGAUACUGAUUGACUAGAGUAUGGUAGAGGGGAGUGGAAUUUCCGGUGUAGCGGUGAAAUGCGUAGAUAUCGGGAAGAACACCGGUGGCGAAGGCGGCCAUCUGGACCGCAACUGACGCUGAGGCGCGAAAGCGUGGGGAGCAAACAGGA